UGGGGAAUAUUGCACAAUGGGCGAAAGCCUGAUGCAGCAACGCCGCGUGAGUGAUGAAGGCCUUCGGGUUGUAAAGCUCUGUCUUUUGGGACGAUAAUGACGGUACCAAAGGAGGAAGCCACGGCUAACUACGUGCCAGCAGCCGCGGUAAUACGUAGGUGGCAAGCGUUGUCCGGAUUUACUGGGCGUAAAGGAUGCGUAGGCGGAUUUUUAAGUGAGAUGUGAAAACCCUAAGCUUAACUUGGGGACUGCAUUUCAUACUGGAAAUCUAGAGUGCGGGAGAGGAGAAUGGAAUUCCUAGUGUAGCGGUGAAAUGCGUAGAGAUUAGGAAGAACACCAGUGGCGAAGGCGAUUCUCUGGACCGUAACUGACGCUGAGGCAUGAAAAGCGUGGGUAGCAAACAAGAUUAGAUACCCUGGUAGUCCACGCCGUAAACGAUGAGUACUAGGUGUAGGAGGUAUCGACCCCUUCUGUGCCGCAGUUAACACAAUAAGUACUCCGCCUGGGAAGUACGAUCGCAAGAUUAAAACUCAAAGGAAUUGACGGGGUCAUAGCUGUUUCCU
rnacentral:rRNA from 1 species